UACGUAGGGGGCAAGCGUUGUCCGGAAUCAUUGGGCGUAAAGCGCGUGUAGGCGGCUCGGUAAGUCCGCUCUGAAAGCCCGGGGCUCAACCCCGGGAGGCGGGUGGAUACUGCUGAGCUCGAGUCCGGAAGAGGCGAGUGGAAUUCCCGGUGUAGCGGUGAAAUGCGCAGAUAUCGGGAGGAACACCAAUGGCGAAGGCAGCUCGCUGGGACGUGACUGACGCUGAGACGCGAAAGCGUGGGGAGCAAACAGG
rnacentral:rRNA from 1 species